GACGAACGCUGGCGGCGUGCUUAACACAUGCAAGUCGAACGGUAAGGCCCUUCGGGGUACACGAGUGGCGAACGGGUGAGUAACGCGUGAGUAACCUGCCCUUCACUCUGGGAUAACAGUUGGAAACGGCUGCUAAUACCGGAUAUUCAGCUCCUGUCGCAUGGUGGGGGUUGGAAAGUUUUGGUGGUGGAGGAUGGGCUCGCGUCCUAUCAGCUUGUUGGUGGGGUGAUGGCCUACCAAGGCGUCGACGGGUAGCCGGCCUGAGAGGGCGACCGGCCACAUUGGGACUGAGAUACGGCCCACACUCCUACGGGAGGCAGCAGUGGGGAAUAUUGCACAAUGGUCGGAAGCCUGAUGCAGCAACGCCGCGUGCGGGAUGACGGCCUUCGGGUUGUAAACCGCUUUCAGCAGAGACGAAGCGCAAGUGACGGUACCUGCAGAAGAAGCACCGGCUAACUACGUG
rnacentral:rRNA from 1 species